AUUGAACGCUGGCGGCAUGCUUUACACAUGCAAGUCGAACGGCAGCAUGGGCUUCGGCCUGAUGGCGAGUGGCGAACGGGUGAGUAAUAUAUCGGAACGUACCCAAGAGUGGGGGAUAACGUAGCGAAAGUUACGCUAAUACCGCAUACGAUCCAAGGAUGAAAGUGGGGGACCUUCGGGCCUUAUGCUCCUGGAGCGGCCGAUAUCUGAUUAGCUAGUUGGUAGGGUAAAGGCCUACCAAGGCAUCGAUCAGUAGCUGGUCUGAGAGGACGACCAGCCACACUGGAACUGAGACACGGUCCAGACUCCUACGGGAGGCAGCAGAGGGGAAUUUUGGACAAUGGGGGCAACCCUGAUCCAGCAAUGCCGCGUGAGUGAAGAAGGCCUUCGGGUUGUAAAGCUCUUUUGUCAGGGAAGAAACGGUUGUGGUUAAUAUCCAUGGCUAAUGACGGUACCUGAAGAAUAAGCACCGGCUAACUACGUGCCAGCCGCCGCCGUAACAC
rnacentral:rRNA from 1 species